AUUUGACCUGAUACAACAUCGGAU
rnacentral:siRNA from 1 species